UUCGGAUUGCAGGCUGCAACUCGCCUGCAUGAAGCUGGAAUUGCUAGUAAUCGCGGAUCAGCAAGCCGCGGUGAAUACGUUCCCGGGCCUUGUACACACCGCCCGUCACACCAUGAGAGUCGGGAACACCCGAAGUCCGUAGUCUAACCGCAAGGGGGCGCGGCCGAAGGUGGGUCCGGUAAUUGGGGUGAAGUCGUAACAAGGUAUC
rnacentral:rRNA from 1 species